CAAUGCAGGGGACGUGGGUUCGAGCCCUGGUCUGGGAAGAUCCCACAUGCCGCGGAGCAACUAGGCCCGUGAGCCACAACUACUGAGCCUGCGCGUCUGGAGCUUGUGCUCCGCAACAAGAGAGGCCACGACAGUGAGAGGCCCGCGCACCGCGAUGAAGAGUGGUCCCCGCUUGCCGCAACUAGAGAAAGCCCUCGCACAGAAACGAAGACCCAACACAGCCAAAAAUGUCUAAUGGAGGUCCAACUAUAUAACAAGAUGAAAAAUUGAUGUUUGAAAAGUUGUUGUAGUAUAGCAGUUGGUCUCUUUAGAAGAAAUUAGAACUACCAGAAUUGGCCAGUAUGGCAUACUGCAGGACCUUUGCCCACACUGUUCUACUCAACUGACGUUUUGUGGAUCUGACUGCCUUAGUAUAAACUCUGCCACUGAACAGCUGCACCUAGCAGGAACAUCACAUAAAUUUCUGGGAAGUCCAACAUUGGAAAGACGCCAGAAAAUUGGAGUCAGUUCAGAAAAGAGUAACAACUGAAAAGGAACUGGGGGAAGGGGAUGAUUUAUGAGGAGAUAAUAAAAUAAAUAUAUACUGUGCCUCAUCCUAUACAUAUACAUACAUAAUUUUGCAAUGGGAAUAUGU